GAUCAAUGCCUUAUAGAUGAACCUCCCACUAAAUUUACCAGCUCUUUUUGAAGCUGAUGGUACUUCUCAAAAGUCUGCAGUAAUCCUAGCAAACUAUGAUAGUUCACUGCUGGCUUUGUCAUUCUGUAGUGACUAAGAAAGGAUAGGUAAGAUUUUGAUAGCGAAUUGAGGAUAGCAUCCUUAUCUAACUGUUCAUACAACAGAA
rnacentral:lncRNA from 1 species